ACCUACGGGGGGCAGCAGUGGGGAAUAUUGGGCAAUGGGCGCAGGCCUGACCCAGCAACGCCGCGUGAAGGAAGAAGGCUUUCGGGUUGUAAACUUCUUUUGACAGGGAAGAGUAGAAGACGGUACCUGUCGAAUAAGCCACGGCUAACUACGUGCCAGCAGCCGCGGUAAUACGGAGGAUGCGAGCGUUAUCCGGAUUUAUUGGGUUUAAAGGGUGCGUAGGCGGGCUGUUAAGUCAGCGGUAAAAGCCCGGGGCUCAACCCCGGCGAGCCGUUGAAACUGGCUGUCUUGAGAUGUCGAGAGGU
rnacentral:rRNA from 1 species